UGUCUUUAUUUGAAAUAAUUUAGCGUUUUUAUUGAAAAUAACUGCUUAAUAUCGAUAGAUUAGUCGUUCGUCUACCUGCUGCAACCGUUUUUCUUUUUUUAUACACGAUUAAACUAUAGUUAACACGAUUUUGCUGCAUGUCGUCCCCAGCGACGGAUUAUUAUGCUUUUGUCAUUUUUCCUAGUCUAGUCCUCAUAUCACGGAACACACUGACGCCAAAUAUCAAUUGAUUAAUGCAUUCUGCGUCUAAAUACAUCUACUUCUCUUCAUAUAUCCGCUGUUUUAUUACAGGAUUGCCCCUUACUUCACGUUUUCUGAAGGAGCACAGAAUCCACGGCUACAUGCGCACACUAAGCAAUGCUAUAUUGUCCCUAAAUACGUUACCAAGACCAUUUCAGAAAUUGAACUCAUUUAAUUUGACUAAUGAACUACCUCACGCGACACACCUCCUGGCCGAAGCAUUUCUUCGCAUUUCAAUGUAAAGCUCACAAGAGUGUUUUUUAAUCCAGCCUUAAUAUAACACUAAAGUAGUAGGCAUUAUGGUAUAUUCCAGAAAUCAGUUUCACCUCCUUUCCCCAAUUUUUUUCAUCACUCCACUCUCACACUUAACGGCAUGACACAUCUCCCAUCCACUUACCGAUGAUUCUUUCCAAUCUUAGAAAUUUUACUCCCCCACUGAGUCUAAAUAUAUUUAUGUUGUCUAUAACUAGAAAGCAUGCCCUGCCCUAGAAAUGAAUUUCAUGUCAUUUGUUCAAUUCUUUAUUUCCAGAAAUUACAUGGUUUGUCCUACAUUCCAUCCAAGCUGUCAGCAGAAAUUAUUGCAUGUUUUAAAAAUAUUUCUUCACUGCUCAGACUAAACAUAUAUAGAGCCUACAACUAGAAAUCAAGCUGUGCUCUAGAAAUGCAUUUAAUGCCAUUUGGUAAAUUUCUUAUGUGCAGAAAUGACACGUUUGAUCCUGCACUCCACCUCCCAAGUUGUCAUCGGAAUGUUUUGCGUACGUUAAAAAUAUUCCUCCCGCACUCAGACUAACCAUAUUUAUAUAAUAUAGCGUACAACUAAUCAUCAUGCCUUCCCCUAGAAAUGAAUUUCAUUUCAUUCACUUCAUUUUUUAUUCACAUAAUGACCACAUUUUGAAAACACUGCGCACAUCUGCAGAAGUUUGCGAAGUUUCUUUCCAUUUCUCCCCACUGAUAUUCAAUAGUCAAUUCAAUCAAAUUCCAUAUCCUUAUUAUAAGCAGACAUUCUGAAGCAUUCUAGGAGCAAAUUUCAUGUCAUAUGUUCAUUGCUUUACCACUCAACUUGCACAUUCCAGGGCACGACCUCCGAACCACCUGUUGAUAUUUCUUUCCAAAUUUAAAAAUAUUUUGACCUCACACACAUUCAAGGUAAGUUCAUAAUCUAUAAAUAGACAUUCUGAUGCAUUCCAGAGAUCAAUUUCACCUUAUUUCCCAAUUCCUUUCGUCACUCACCCCACAAAUUUCGCUGCAUGGCUCAUUUCCUUGAAAUGUUAAAAAUAUCUCUACCUCACUCAGGCUCAAGAUAAGUUCACGUUUUGAUAAGUAGAAACCCUGAUGCAAUCCAGAAAUGAAUUUCAUCUUACUCACUCCAUUUUUUGUUCACAUAAUGGACACAUUUUGGAAAUACUGCUCCUGUCCUAAGCAGUCUUACAUGCGAAAUUUCUACUAAAAAUAUUUCAACCCCACUCAGGCCAAGGGCGUGUCAUCUCUCCGAACCACUUGCCGAUGUUUCUUUCCAAUGUUCAAAAUAUUUUUACCUCACACACAUUCAAGGUAACAAUCGCAAUAUCGCACUUGCUGCAGUGCCAACACAGAGCACAGUGUCAUAUGGACCGUUUAAUAGCCAAUACACAGGCUGAGUGAGCUUACUUUCUUUUCUUCUCAGUAUUUCAACUGUGCAAAAUAAAUUAUCGUUUCAAUGUCACUUAUGGUCACUUCAGCGUCUCAUUUGUGCUCGUAUUUAUUUUUCCACCUCAAAAUCUUUCUGGCACUUACAGUCAAACUCCUUCACAACGAAACUCAGGGGACAGCAAAAAGAAUUCGCAGUAAAGGUAUUUUCGUUAAAAAGGAUGUCCAUUAUUGGACCUAUAGGGCUCCAGUGGGACUGCAAAAAAAAUUGCAGUAGUGGUAUUUUCGUUAAAAAGGUGUCCGCUAUAAAGGAGUUUGACUGUAUAUAAUUUACGAUUUCUUCAAUUCCUUCACACGUUUUCCGCUAUACCUCAGAAAAUUGUCAGCGUAGCGUAACUUGCUGUAUUCUGGAAUGCUGCGAUUUCUUGCGGCAUAUUUUUAAAAAUCUAUUUUAGCGGAGUUUUGAGCCCUACUACCUGCACAUGAUCAUUUUUCGUUUGUUUCAACUUUCCUUUUCCCUGUGGCUCAAGAGGCCUAUGUGGUUUGGUUGUGGGUGCCCAUCAGCUACCCCUUUUAAGGUACCUUAUUUUCAGGGUAAAGCGCCUUGCAAGCGGUGCUGGUUGUAUUGACCUGUCGUAGACUAUGGCUUCAUGAAUUUAUGAAUUUGUAAGAACAAUAAUUGUUGGCUUCAUUCUUUGUAUUGCUUGCUUCUUCCACUUCGAAACUUAAAUUUCUACUUUCUAUCACGCUUGGGCGGGCGCCCAGGUGCCCCUGCUUUAGGGCCUCGUGUCACCCAAAGCCCGUCCUAAUCAUAUACUAAGUCCACGUUAUCGGGAAGUGAGGUGGGGUUCUGGACAUGAUUGAUUUCCGGGGCCGCGAUUUCUCUCGCUGAGCCUGCAUGUAGCAGACCGGUCACAAUCUUUUAUAUUGAACUACAGUAGGACAGCUGAAGUAACGGCUGUUGCAGGGGUCUGAGCCUUGUGAUGGCCGUCCGAGAAAGUGAUGAAAACCCAGCUGCGCCCCUGCUAUCGUCAACUGCAGGUCGAAGCGUCCAUGGGUCCCGGACAUGCUUUCUGAAGCCAACAACAAUUCAGCAAUUUUCAUCUUCUUACUAACUCCUUGUCUUCAUUGUUGUCCAUUGCAGCGUCUCUGCCACUGACAAUGUGCUGUACAAUUCAGGGAAUAGUGAAUAAAUUUUGUGGAUUUCAGGGCCUA